AUGAGGAGCGUCUUGGUGAGGCUCACAUUUCUGCUCCUCCCGCUGCUUUUCACAUGCCAUCGGGUGAGCGGCUUCUAUGUGCCAGGGGUUGCACCCAGGAACUUCCACCAAAACACUCUUGUAGAAAUCAAGGCCGUGAAGCUUACCAGUUCGAGGACCCAGCUACCUUACGAGUAUUACUCCUUGCCCUUCUGCCAUCCGGUCAACAUCACAUAUAAAUCAGAAAAUCUAGGUAAGCCCCGCUGCCAAGAUGGAAGGUGUCCAGAGAAAGGCCACCAAAGGUCUGAAACCACAAAUUCCUCUGAGAAGCAGCUUAGGGGAGCUGGGGAUCUCUAGCUUGGAGAAGGCAAGGUUACAAGGCAGCAUAAUGACCAUGUUUAAAUGCUUGAAAGGAUGUAAAACUGAAAAGGAAGCAGGCUUGUUUUCUGCCACUCCCGAAACAAGGGAC
rnacentral:lncRNA from 11 species